GUUGAAGCCAAUUUUCUCUGUGUGUGUCAGCUGAAUUCAAGGUGCUUAGUAUUCAGUAGGUAUUGAUUGAAGAAAUCUUGUUUAUGUUGCUAGAAUAAUUGCCCUGGAUACACAGACCACUUCCAGAGACUAAGGAACGAUGAGAAUAAUUUUCAAAGGGGACAAGGUGCAGGCUAGGCAUCAAAACUGGCCGUGAAGGAUAAUUUUCCUCAGCAGCUGAUUACACUGCAUGAGCAAGACAGAAAAUGCACUGUUGGACUCACCUGCACCUCACUGAAAUCAAUGUGGAUCUCUCCAUCAACUAAGACACUUAUCCAUGUGAAGAGGAUUGAAUUUCAAGCUAAUUUUAUGAUCUAUUUUCAUCAGAGAACCUGAUCCUUGGAAACUAAAGACUAACUUUCUUCUGAUGGUUGCUGGAAGAGCACUGUGUUAGGCUCCCUGAAGAUCUGAAUUGAACAUCUUCUUUAAGUGCUGCUAACUACAUGUUCCUGAUUUAGUUGAUUGCAGAUUUCUCUCCAGGAUUCCCAGCAGACUGUGACAUUCUGCUUCUCCAGGACCUGAAAACCAUAGGCAUAAGUCAUGUCGGCUGUAAGAAGGGGUAGAGCUGAGAUGGAAGAGUGGUGGAGAGAGUAUUAUCACUCUGACCAUAUUUGGGGGCACAGGAAAAUGGAGUGACCAGAGACAAUGGACAGGAUGGCCCUCACCUAGCUGAUACCACUGACCUAAACAUCCCUCCUAUACCUUUUUGGUAGCAAUAGACAUAGCCAACCUGAGUGUCCUAAGCUUUGAUGAAUUUGGGUAGUGGGACAACAGAUUAUUUUCUUCUUAUAAAUAUACCCUCCCCAUAUCAAGAAACAGUGUUGUUCAGUGCUUAGAAGAUUGGAAUACCUGAUCCCAAGAAAUGCUUUCUAUUUUGUGACUCUUCUCUUCCUUCAAUAGUUACUAACAAUAUAGAUAGUUGUGAUCUUCUCUGAAUUUAUAAGCAUCUUUUACUAACUAUUUUAUUUCUGGCAGCCUUUGUUCCUUGAUGUAUUAUCAGCUUUCUUGAGUAACACUGCUGUACCAAGUCUCAGCUUGUACUAGGAAACCUAAAAGAAUGCUCUUUGAAAACAUGAUCAAAGUGAUUAACGGUAUACAAUGACUGAAGAAGACACAAACGUUAAAAAUAAGUGCUCGGCAGAUAACGUACUUCAUCUUCUCUGUAACAAGUUAUUGAACAUGGUUGUCUGAGUAUUUACCAGCUUGACUUGAUUCUGCUAUUCCCCUCUCCCAUACUUCAUCUCCUUCUUAUUAGUUCAAUAGCUGAUACUAGAAAGAGGAUUUCUCCGCAAGGUCUGAGGCUUUUCACAAGGCAUAUGUAUCACUUAGGGAUAUCAGGUUGCCAUAGGAAGCAUCUUUCAGAUGACAGAGGAUAUAGAGGGAUUGCUCUGUGCAUCAGUCAUUCACAGCUGAAAUGAUCCUGAAACAAAAACCCUGAUCUACCCCUUCAUCAUUUUGCUGCAUUACCUCUUCGCUAAAUGCAAAUUGACUGGAAAUGUUGUGAUGCUUGAAGAUGUGUGAUGUUUCAUUCCUGUGUCCAUAGAAGGUGUAAAAAAAACCUAGCCAAAGGAGGGUAAGACUAUAGGUGUAGCUGCUCACUAGAAAAUAUCUGAGUGCCACAGACCCUACUGCCCUUUCUUGACCAGUUACAGACUGGAGAUGUACCUCAUUCUUUACCCGUAACUCCUGAAAGAUGCAGCUGAAUAAUAUCUGGGUAUAUCUAUCCUCAGAAGUAAGUGCAAGAGGAAUUUGGAGAGAUCCUUGAAGUGUUAAACAUGUUGCUACCACUGGAACAUGCGAGAUAUAAAAUGGGUUUGACUAAGUCAUUAUCCCAAAACACAGGUACUUACU